CCUACGGGGGGCACCAGUGAGGAAUUUUGCGCAAUGGGGGUAACCCUGACGCAGCAACGCCGCGUGAGUGAAGAAGGCCUUCGGGUCGUAAAGCUCUGUCAAGUGGGAAGAACCCGCAUCAGGUCAACAGGCUGAUGCGCUGACGGUACCACUGAAGGAAGCACCGGCUAACUCCGUGCCAGCAGCCGCGGUAAUACGGAGGGUGCAAGCGUUAUUCGGAAUCACUGGGCGUAAAGGGCGCGCAGGCGGCUGGGCAAGUCAGUAGUGAAAGCCCGGGGCUCAACCCCGGAAGUGCUGCUGAAACUGUCGGGCUUGAGUAUGGUAGAGGGAAGCGGAAUUCCUGGUGUAGCGGUGAAAUGCGUAGAUAUCAGGAGGAACACCGGUGGCGAAGGCGGCUUCCUGGACCAAUACUGACGCUGAGGCGCGAAGGCGUGGGUAGCAAACAGGAUUAGAUACCCUUGUAGUC
rnacentral:rRNA from 1 species